rnacentral:rRNA from 1 species
UACGGGGGAUGCAAGCGUUGUCCGGAUUUAUUGGGUUUAAAGGGUGCGUAGGCGGUUUGAUAAGUCAGUGGUUAAAUUAAGCAGCUCAACUGUUUGCUUGCCAUUGAUACUGUCAGACUUGAGACUUGAGGGGGUAAGCGGAAUUGGUAGUGUAGCGGUGAAAUGCAUAGAUACUACCAGGAAUAUCGAUAGUGAAGACAGCUUACUACGCAAGGACUGACGCUGAGGCACGAAAGCGUGGGGAUCAAACAGG